rnacentral:tRNA from 1 species
GGCGCUAUAGUGUAGUGGUUAUCACUUGGGAUUCUGAUAUCAACUUCCCAAAACCCAGGUUCGAGCCCUGGUAGCGCCU